rnacentral:rRNA from 1 species
GAUGAACGCUGGCGGCGUGCCUAAUACAUGCAAGUCGAGCGAACAGAAGAGGAGCUUGCUCCUCUGACGUUAGCGGCGGACGGGUGAGUAACACGUGGAUAACCUACCUAUAAGACUGGGAUAACUUCGGGAAACCGGAGCUAAUACCGGAUAACAUGUUGAACCGCAUGGUUCAACAGUGAAAGACGGUCUUGCUGUCACUUAUAGAUGGAUCCGCGCCGCAUUAGCUAGUUGGUAAGGUAACGGCUUACCAAGGCAACGAUGCGUAGCCGACCUGAGAGGGUGAUCGGCCACACUGGAACUGAGACACGGUCCAGACUCCUACGGGAGGCAGCAGUAGGGAAUCUUCCGCAAUGGGCGAAAGCCUGACGGAGCAACGCCGCGUGAGUGAAGAAGGUCUUCGGAUCGUAAAACUCUGUUAUUAGGGAAGAACAAAUGUGUAAGUAACUAUGCACGUCUUGACGGUACCUAAUCAGAAAGCCACGGCUAACUACGUG